rnacentral:rRNA from 1 species
GACGAACGCUGGCGGCGUGCUUAAUACAUGCAAGUCAACCGAAGCAGUGGUAGUAAUAUCGCUUUGGAGGUGGCGCACGGGGGAGUAACACGUAGGUUAUCCGCCUUCAGGUCUGGCAAAACCCCGGGAAACCGGGGCUAAUAGCAGAUGAUGCAGCGGCGCGACAUGGAGACAGUUGUUAAAGCUAUGGCGCCUGAAGAUGAGGCUGCGUCUGAUUGGUUGGUUGGCGGGGUAACGGCCACCCAAGGCGACGAUCAUUGGCUGGGCUGAGAGGAUGACCAGGCACACUGGAACUGAGACACGGACCAGGCUACGACGGGGGGCAGCAGUAAGGAAAAUUGCGGAAUGGGUGAAAUACUGAAGCAGCGACUCAGCGUGAGGGACGAAGGGCUUUAGCUUGUAAACCUCGGUAGUAAGAGAAAUAAAUCCCGAUCUUGCGGACAUGACGGUACCUCAAAAAUAAGCCCCGGCUAACUACGUG